CAGAUUUCCAAUAGAAAAAAUGUCAAAACCUCAAAUUUUUGCCUCAGACAAAAGUUAUUUGACGAUUGAAAAAUCAGCACUUUGUAAAUUAAAA